AGCAGCCGCGGUAAUUCCAGCUCCAAUAGCGUAUAUUAAAGUUGUUGCAGUUAAAAAGCUCGUAGUUGAAUUUCGGGAUCAAUAUGUUGGUCGUGCCUUGGUACGUACUGGCAUUAUCGAUUCCUACCUUCUGAAGAACCUCGAUGUCAUUAAUUUGGUGUCUUGGGGAAUCAGGACUGUUACUUUGAAAAAAUUAGAGUGUUUAAAGCAGGCUCGCGCUUGAAUACAUUAGCAUGGAAUAAUGAAAUAGGACGUUUGAUUCUAUUUUGUUGGUUUCUAGGAUCGACGUAAUGAUUAAUAGGGAUAGUUGGGGGCAUUAGUAUUCAAUUGUCAGAGGUGAAAUUCUUGGAUUUAUUGAAGACUAACUACUGCGAAAGCAUUUGCCAAGGAUGUUUUCAUUAAUCAAGAACGAAAGUUAGGGGAUCGAAGACGAUCAGAUACCGUCGUAGUCUUAACCAUAAACUAUGCCGACUAG
rnacentral:rRNA from 1 species